rnacentral:tRNA from 1 species
GGAGCGAUGGCCGAGAGGCUGAAGGCACCGGUUUGCUAAACCGGCGUACUGGGAAACUGGUACCGAGGGUUCGAAUCCCUCUCGCUCCG